AUUGAACGCUGGCGGCAGGCCUAACACAUGCGAGUCGAGCGGAUGAAGGGAGCUUGCUCCUGGAUUCAGCGGCGGGCGGGUGAGUAAUGCCUAGGAAUCUGCCUGGUAGUGGGGGAUAACGUCCGGAAACGGGCGCUAAUACCGCAUACGUCCUGAGGGAGAAAGUGGGGGAUCUUCGGACCUCACGCUAUCAGAUGAGCCUAGGUCGGAUUAGCUAGUUGGUGGGGUAAAGGCCUACCAAGGCGACGAUCCGUAACUGGUCUGAGAGGAUGAUCAGUCACACUGGAACUGAGACACGGUCCAGACUCCUACGGGAGGCAGCAGUGGGGAAUAUUGGACAAUGGGCGAAAGCCUGAUCCAGCCAUGCCGCGUGUGUGAAGAAGGUCUUCGGAUUGUAAAGCACUUUAAGUUGGGAGGAAGGGCAGUAAGUUAAUACCUUGCUGUUUUGACGUUACCAACAGAAUAAGCACCGGCUAACUUCGUG
rnacentral:rRNA from 1 species